AUUGAACGCUGGCGGCAGGCCUAACACAUGCAAGUCGAGCGGAUGAAGGGAGCUUGCUCCUGGUUUCAGCGGCGGACGGGUGAGUAAUGCCUAGGAAUCUGCCUGGUAGUGGGGGAUAACGUCCGGAAACGGGCGCUAAUACCGCAUACGUCCUGAGGGAGAAAGUGGGGGAUCUUCGGACCUCACGCUAUCAGAUGAGCCUAGGUCGGAUUAGCUAGUUGGUGGGGUAAAGGCCUACCAAGGCGACGAUCCGUAACUGGUCUGAGAGGAUGAUCAGUCACACUGGGACUGAGACACGGUCCAGACUCCUACGGGAGGCAGCAGUGGGGAAUAUUGGACAAUGGGCGAAAGCCUGAUCCAGCCAUGCCGCGUGUGUGAAGAAGGUCUUCGGAUUGUAAAGCACUUUAAGUUGGGAGGAAGGGCAGUAAGUUAAUACCUUGCUGUUUUGACGUUACCAACAGAAUAAGCACCGGCUAACUUCGUG
rnacentral:rRNA from 1 species